rnacentral:lncRNA from 1 species
GCUACUUAAAACACAUCAAUUCUCGGGAUACGAGCCAUAGGUCGGAACACUGUCAACGACCCUCCAGAAUAUCUGGAAAAACUCAGAACAUUCAUCAAACACUCAAACCUCGUCAUUUGCAAAGGUCCAGUGUAUUACACAAACGCAACCCAAACAAUAUGAAUCAUGGCCCGAACCCAAAUCAAUCUCUUCCCUUAACCAACUCCGUAGGGAUAGAUCAAUUUAAACUCGAUUUCCCAGUAAAUACAACUGGGGCUCAAAUCACAAACUCCAUCAAAUUCUAAUGCAUAUGUUUAGAAUUUGAUCAAACCAACUUUUACCUUAAAGUAAAAAAUC